rnacentral:rRNA from 1 species
ACGCCUUAUACAUGCAAGUCGAACGAAGUAGCAAUACUUAGUGGCAGACGGGUGAGUAACAUGUGGGUAUCUUCCCUUUGGUGAGGAAUAACACGAGGAAACUUGUGCUAAUACCUCAUAAGUCUUUACGGAGAAAGCUUUAUGCGCCAAUGGAUGAGCCCGCACUUGAUUAGUUUGUUGGUGGGGUAAUGGCCUACCAAGACUUUGAUCAAUAGCUGAUUUGAGAGGAUGAUCAGCCACAUUGGGACUGAGACACGGCCCAAACUCCUACGGGAGGCAGCAGUAAGGAAUCUUGCACAAUGGAGGAAACUCUGAUGCAGCGAUGCCGCGUGAGUGAAGAAGGCCUUUGGGUUGUAAAGCUCUUUCGUCGGGGAAGAAAAUGACUGUACCCGAAUAAGAAGGUCCGGCUAACUUCGUGCCAGCAGCCGCGGUAAUACGAAGGGACCUAGCGUAGUUCGGAAUUACUGGGCUUAAAGAGUUCGUAGGUGGUUAAAAAAGUUGGUAGUGAAAUCCCAGAGCUUAACUCUGGAACUGCUAUCAAAACUUUUUAGCUAGAGUAUGAUAGAGGAAAGCAGAAUUUCUAGUGUAGAGGUGAAAUUCGUAGAUAUUAGAAAGAAUACCAAUUGCGAAGGCAGCUUUCUGGAUCAUUACUGACGCUGAGGAACGAAAGCAUGGGUAGCGAAGAGGAUUAGAUACCCUCGUAGUCCAUGCUGUAAACGAUGUGUGUUAGACGUUGGAAAUUUAUUUUCAGUGUCGCAGCGAAAGCGAUAAACACACCGCCUGGGGAG